GACGAACGCUGGCGGCGUGCUUAACACAUGCAAGUCGAACGGAAAGGCCCCUUUGGGGGUCCUCGAGUGGCGAACGGGUGCGUAACACGUGAGUAACCUGCCCUUGACUUCGGGAUAACUUCAGGAAACUGGGGCUAAUACCGGAUAGGAAUCCUUGCUGCAUGGUGGGGGUUGGAAAGCUUCGGCGGUUUUGGAUGGACUCGCGGCCUAUCAGCUUGUUGGGGGGGUAGUGGCUUACCAAGGCUGUGACGGGUAGCGGGCCUGGGGGGGCGACCGGCCACAUUGGGACUGAGGGGCGGCCCAGACUCGGACGGGAGGCAGCAGUGGGGAAUAUUGCACAAUGGGCGGAGGCCGGAUGCAGCAACGCCGCGUGCGGGAUGACGGCCUUGGGGUUGUAAACCGCUUUCAGCAGGGGCGAAGCUUGUGGUGACGGUACCUGCAGAAGAAGCACCGGCUAACUACGUG
rnacentral:rRNA from 1 species